UCCUUCCCAUCUUCUCAAUAAGAAAAACAGAGCAUAACCAAGUGUACCUUCGCUUCGAGUCAAUAAUGGAGUAAAAAACCGCCAACGAAUAAACCGUUAGUCCACCUCCGGUGCCCCCACUACAACGCGUCUUCUCUUAUAAAUCAUGUUCAUCUUUCUUCCUCUAAUCGGAGCUUCGCCGGAUUCCACCACCGAUUUCAUUCUCCACUUUAUCCAUAACAUUUUCAUCUCUUUUCAGCUCUCUAAUCGAAGUUUGAUAACAGGAAGUGGUCUGAGUCUUAGCUGGAAUCUCGGGGAUAAUUCGUUCAAGAUGCUGCACGUGCUAUUUCCACAAACAGUCAUAGGGAGUGAACGUGGUAUUGCAUGAUUUUCGUGCUUCGUUGUUAGUGUAGUUCAAAAUGGGUUGAUCAAGUGUUAGUAGUUAGAUUUCACAAUACACACUCUCGCUUACACACACAACGAAAGAGAAAACACACAACACUCUUAGCAAUCAGUUGUAAAACACUCGAUCAACAUCCAAAGUUGUAAACUCUUUCGAUUGUGCAAUAUAGUUGAUAGUGAUAGUUUUCACUA